GGGCAGACAUCAUGUCCUGCUGCAGCUGAGGAGGCAGAGCUGAGCGCAGAGGGAAGGGGAGGAGAAAGGCUCACCAGACAAACAAUUGGAGCCUUCCAAACCACUGGCAGAGGUGACUGUGGAGCUCAGCAAGUGUCCAAUGAGCUGGGAAAAGAUGGUGCAGCUGAAGAAGAGCUUUAAAGUCUUCAUCGUGUUGCUCUCAGUGGCUCUUGAAGCUGCAAAGUGUAUUUCCAGCAGAACUGAAAACCUUCUGGAAUUCACACACUUUGACUGAAACCCAAAAGUUGCAGAAUCUGCUGGAAGAGGUCACUCAGCUUAGGGUGGAGAUCAGUAGCUUGAAGGAAUUGAGCCAGAUGGCUUUGGAACCCUGUGUCAAGAUGGACUGGGCCCUGAAGGGCUGUGGAGCCACCAUUGACACACAAUGAACUUCCCAGACCUACGACUGCAAAGACAAUUUUCUCUGCAGGAUUUUACGCUUCUUCUGGGCUGCCAGCCCUCCUGAUACUAUUCUGCAGGUAUCUGAGCAGAAAUCACCAGUUUUCUUCUCUCCUGUGAAUUUGGGAACCAUUCUUGGGGGCUCUCCCCUCAGCCCAGUGGUACUGAUGAAGCCCACAGUAGAUUUGAUUCCUGAAACCAGAGCUGGAACAUGGGCUGGGCUUGCUGAGAAGCAGUGGUUCGUCUCCAGAGGGGAGUGGAGCCAAACUGAGCUGUACUGCUGCAGUCCACUCACAGUCCUUGGCCACAGCUGGGUGAAAGGAUUUCUUUCUAUCUGGUGACCCUGUCUCCACUGUCAACCCCAAGAACUGCUUUUCAGGGUGGGAGGUGGGAGGAGGGAUGCCCUACAGAGUCCCUGGGCAGAGGUGUUUCUGCUUGCCCCUGAGUAGGAUGGUUUUGUAACCAGUAUUCUCUGUUCUGCCACGCUGAGCCCACUUUGGCAGGCAGGGAAGUCCUUCUGCUUCUGUCCAUUUCCUCACAUGCCCCUUAUUUUCAAGCUGAAAUAGAGCCCACAGACA